rnacentral:rRNA from 1 species
UGGGGAAUAUUGCACAAUGGGCGAAAGCCUGAUGCAGCGACGCCGCGUGAGUGAUGACGUAUUUCGGUAUGUAAAGCUCUAUCAGCAGGGAAGAUAAUGACGGUACCUGACUAAGAAGCCCCGGCUAACUACGUGCCAGCAGCCGCGGUAAUACGUAGGGGGCAAGCGUUAUCCGGAUUUACUGGGUGUAAAGGGUGCGUAGGUGGUAUGGUAAGUCAGAAGUGAAAGGUGAGGGCUCAACCCUUAGACUGCUUUUGAAACUAUCAAACUAGAGUGCAGGAGAGGUAAGUGGAAUUCCUAGUGUAGCGGUGAAAUGCGUAGAUAUUAGGAGGAACACCAGUGGCGAAGGCGGCUUACUGGACUGUAACUGACACUGAGGCACGAAAGCGUGGGGAGCAAA